rnacentral:rRNA from 1 species
UAGGGAAUAUUGCGCAAUGGGCGAAAGCCUGACGCAGCGACACCGUGUGUAGGAUGAAGGUCUUAGGAUUGUAAACUACUGUCAGUUGAAGAAGAAGGUAUGAAGGUUAAGAGCCUGAUUAUUGACGGUAUUCAACGAGGAAGUCUCGGCUAACUCCGUGCCAGCAGCCGCGGUAAGACGGGGGAGGCAAGCAUUGUCCGGAAUUAUUGGGCGUAAAGAACACGUAGGCGGUUUUUCAAGUCAGUUGUGAAAACCUUGGGCUCAACCCGAGGACUGCAGCUGAUACUGGAUGACUAGAGUACAGUAGAGGAAAGUGGAAUUCCUGGUGUAGCGGUGAAAUGCGCAGAUAUCAGGAAGAACACCAGUGGCGAAAGCGGCUUUCUGGACUGUUACUGACGCUGAGGUGUGAAAGCUAGGGGAGCGAACAGG